UGGCUCAGUUGGUAGAACAUGGUGUUUGCAACGCCAGGAUUGUGGGUUCGAUUCCCAC
rnacentral:tRNA from 1 species